AGACAGGGCCGAUCCAGACGGAAAUAAAAUCCCCAAAGAGCACAUGUAAAAUAGGAAAUUACCCCAUGGACCCCUGUACAUCUAAUCCUGUCUGGACAGGGUGUUAGUGCUAGUACUGAUGAGGUGAGAGGUGGGCGUGGCGCUCGGAUCUCCACCUGGUUUGGCGCUUGGCUGAGUUUUGCCCCUUAGGGCUUUCCAUACUGAGUUUCAGAACUCUUCACUUCAGCGGGUAAGAAGCGCCCGAUUUCCUGGUACGAGGCACAAUGGGCAUUUCUUUGAACUGGGGGAGAAUGACUCGAAUAGACGAGAGCGGAGAUGAAAACAGAUAAACAGGAAGCUACUUUUUCAGAGAAGGGAAGUUGAAAUGUUCCUCAUACCUCAUGCGAUAAAAGCCAUGUUUUGCGACCAGCGACCUACACAGCCUGGUGAAUAUAUUCAUAUAUCCAAUUGAGAGCUUCUUAUCGAGCGAUAUAACCCAAUAUGAUCCUGUACGCCGUAUUGUUCCACCCCUACUAAUCAGCACAGAGAGUGCUCUUUAAAUAUUUUGCAUGGAGGAAUAAACCAAGGUCCCUCUCCAACUUUGAUAGACUUUACAGGAAGAGGCUCGGUGCUGCUAUUCUCCACAGGAGUCUUCAUCUAAUGCUUUCUUUGCAUGCUGAUAAUUUUUAAAUGAACAUGUACUGCUUAUAUAGAUUGGUUGGUUAUUAAAUUCAAACAAGUGACUAAAGAGACUAAAGUGGCUGUUUUUUUGUUUUUCCCCUUCACGUGUCGACCUAAUAGACGGGCAUCUCGUUUAUUAAAUGUGCACUUUCGACCAGUUUCCUGUGCUUUUUACUGAUGCCUUUCUCAGAGGUCAGGAUGCACCGUUCCUGUUGAGCAGCCAAUCGAGCAGUCUUUGUGACUCCUGCCAUCUGUGCUCCAAUGAUGAAAUUUUCUUUCAAAGUCAUAUAGCUCUACAUCUCACCUAUCUGGAAGUAUCUUGCUUUCUCCACUUAUUUAUUCUGUUUUGUUUUGAUAUUUUUUCUUCUUCUAAUUUUGCCAGCCAUGUCUGUAUAUUAUAUGUUGAAUGCAGAUUGUUAUUUAAAUGAUCGCCGUCACACCGGGGGUCAUCACACUGUUGUGUUUUAUUUUGUGCAUAUUCGGAAAAUUAUAUGGUCUGCACUUAAAUAGCGCUUUUAUCCAAAGCGCUUUACACUGGUUAUCAUUCACCCAUUCACACACACACUCGCACACUAAUGGUA
ensembl:lncRNA